GAUGAACGCUAGCUACAGGCUUAACACAUGCAAGUCGAGGGGCAUCAGGAAGAAAGCUUGCUUUCUUUGCUGGCGACCGGCGCACGGGUGAGUAACACGUAUCCAACCUGCCCUUUACUCGGGGAUAGCCUUUCGAAAGAAAGAUUAAUACCCGAUAGCAUAAUGAUUCCGCAUGGUUUCAUUAUUAAAGGAUUCCGGUAAAGGAUGGGGAUGCGUUCCAUUAGGUUGUUGGUGAGGUAACGGCCCACCAAGCCUUCGAUGGAUAGGGGUUCUGAGAGGAAGGUCCCCCACAUUGGAACUGAGACACGGUUCAAACUCCUACGGGAGGCAGCAGUGAGGAAUAUUGGUCAAUGGGCGUUAGCCUGAACCAGCCAAGUAGCGUGAAGGAUGAAGGCUCUAUGGGUCGUAAACUUCUUUUAUAUAAGAAUAAAGUGCAGUAUGUAUACUGUUUUGUAUGUAUUAUAUGAAUAAGGAUCGGCUAACUCCGUGCCAGCAGCCGCGGUAAUACGGAGGAUCCGAGCGUUAUCCGGAUUUAUUGGGUUUAAAGGGAGCGUAGGUGGACUGGUAAGUCAGUUGUGAAAGUUUGCGGCUCAACCGUAAAAUUGCAGUUGAUACUGUCAGUCUUGAGUACAGUAGAGGUGGGCGGAAUUCGUGGUGUAGCGGUGAAAUGCUUAGAUAUCACGAAGAACUCCGAUUGCGAAGGCAGCUCACUGGACUGCAACUGACACUGAUGCUCGAAAGUGUGGGUAUCAAACAGG
rnacentral:rRNA from 1 species